ACGACUCUCGGCAACGGAUAUCUCGGCUCACGCAUCGAUGAAGAACGUAGCAAAAUGCGAUACUUGGUGUGAAUUGCAGAAUCCCGUGAACCAUCGAGUUUUUGAACGCAAGUUGCGCCCGAAGCCAUUCGGUCGAGGGCACGUCUGCCUGGGCGUCACGCA
rnacentral:rRNA from 1 species